rnacentral:lncRNA from 1 species
ACUUACGGUUCGGGCGGUGGGCGAGAGCGAUCCGUUGGGGAGGUAGGGGCUCGUCAGGUCGGGGAUCAUGAUGAAGGGGUAGCCGGGAUACGGUGGCCCCUUAAAGAGCCCUCCAUCUUGCCUCUUGGCCGCUAACAUGGCGGGGCGGCGAGGGGACAGCGGCGGCCGCGCGGAGCGGGAGAGAGUGAGGAGAAACUUUUUAGAAAGUGCCCCGAGGGGCCGGGCGCCCCGACCGGGCCGGCGCAGGGCCAGGCCGAGCCGGGCGCGGGGCCGGGGCGCGCGGGGCGGCCGGCCCGGGGGGCGGCUCCGGGCGGCUGCGGGGCGCGCGGGGCGUACUCACCUUCUUCCAAACUUUCCCGGGAUUUGUCUCGGAAACUUUCGGAGCGAGGCGGAGGCCGUCUUUCCGCCUUCCCAGAGGGGUGGAGGUGGGGAGGGCGAGGGGCAAACGCCACGCAGAAGGGGGAGAAGGGGGAGAAAAAGAAUCGGCGAGGUCGAGGGGGGGGUAGAAAAAAACAGGGUUACAAGUUUUUGCAAUGGUGGCACCGUACGCACACGCCGCCCGCCGGGCCCCGCCGCCGCCCCCAGCCCCGAUUUCUCCCCUUUCAGCAACAUUUGCCAAGCCCAGGAAACAGAUAAAAAACCCCACCAGCCCGAGGGGCUUUUCCUACCUCGGAAUCGGAGGAGCUGUUUUGAUUCGUUUCUGAUUCAUUGACUAGAGACGAUUUGACAUCAGCUAAAUCCCUCUCUGCCGAGGAGUUUUCGGAGCUCUUCUCCUCCUGUUCGCCCUCGUCUUUGAAGGAAAUCAGUUCGUCGUUGGCGCCUAGGUCAUCCCCUCCACCGCCGUUCAGCUGCGGCAUUUUUUUUUCACCCACCAGCAGCAAUUUUGGAAGAAAAAUGAAGGAGGAAGAAAAGCCAAAAAAAAUCACCCCCAAAAAGUUUUGCCCCCCCAAAAAAUAUUGCAAGAAAAAGACGAGUCCAAGGUGAACUUUUUUCUGCUUGGGGGUCUUUUUCUCCUGGGGAGGGGAAAAGAGGGAGGAGGGGAGGGGAAGGGGGGGGAGAUCUUCUGCACGCGUGAGUUUGGGUUUCUUUUUUCUCUCGUUCCCAAGGAUCCGAUCAAUGUGCAAAAAAAUAAUAAAUAAAAAAGGGGGGUAAAAAAAAAAAAAACACCAACAACAACAAGAAGUCAGAUAUAAAGAGCAAAGGGGGGGGGAAGCCGAAGAUACAGGAGGUGCUCGUGCCGCUCGGAUUUGAGUGAGUUGAAGUUAGACUGAGAGCUUUUCAGUUCAAAGGCGGCGCUGAUUGACAGAUAGAAAAAGGGGGAUCGAAAUCCGGAGGAACGGAGUAGUCUGGGAGCGGAGAUUAUUGACAGGGCGAGAGGAACACACUGCCUUAAUGAGAUGCCGGAGGGCGGGGCCGGCCCAGUGACGUGUGCAUAAAUAAACAGCCGGGGUGGGCGGGGCGGGGGCGGCUAACAAUGAUCCUUUCGGGCGCCGGGAGAGGGAGGAGGGAAAGAAGGAGGAAGAGAGGGGCGGGGAAGCCGGGGGGAGACGGAGGGAGGAGUGUGCAGGGGGAGCGGCCUGCGCGGAGUGUGUGCGAGCCCGGGAUUCUGGGCGAGGGUGCAGGGACUUGCUCCGGGAGGGGGCGGUUUCAGAAAGACAAUGCGGGGUGGGAGAGGAGGAGAAGGGGGUGGCGACCAAGUCAGGAAUCCGAGCCGAGGAAGGCGGAAGGAAAGCCCACUUGGGGGGCGGGGAUGGGGAGAGGCCCAAAACAGUGCACUUUAGAAAUAUUAGAAAUAAGUCUUAAGGGAGGGGGAAAAGGAAGGGUAGUAUUUGAGAAAGUGGUGGCUGGGGGAGGGGGUGGGGGGGUGCUUGGUGGUUAAUUCAGCAGUGAAAUCAGCCACCCUUAGACGGGAUGCGACAAAAGUGGUCAAAAGGAAAGAUCAACCCUCCACUUUCAGAGAGCUUGGGGAAGUGAAGGGGCUGGUCAAAGUUCCUGGUCAUCUACAAUGAAAGAAACUAUUAACCCAUGAGGCCUCCCUCCUCCCUUUUUUGUUUAUUAGUAGUGAAUCAUUUCAUGAAAUGUUAAGUCCCACUAGGAUGGAUAUGCCAAAACGACUUUUUAUGCAAAAAACAAAUGCUAAAUGUCAGAAACAUUAAAAGUAUCCUUAAGGAAAAAUAUAUGAUUCUUUUAAAUGUAGAGUGGUGUUUUGCUUUUUUUUUUUUUUUUUUAACUGACGUUGGAGGUAGUAGGAAAUGAGCUAGAGUCAAAGUCCUUUUUGACUUAGGAGGUGAAAAGUUUGGGCGUUAACACCGUCAGGGAAAAUAAAACUGAAAGUUCACCAACCCCUGGGAUCAGUUGGGCUACAGUGUUUCUCGAAGGGGGUCUGAAAUGAAAUCCCCGAAAGACUGACCAAAAUAAUCAAGAUGUAGGUGGCUCUGGCAGGAAAUUGCUAACCAAACCGAUGCUAGAAGACCUUCGGGAGAAGAUGGGAAACCUGGGGCUUGAGGCAGGUAUUUGUUGACUUUUAGGUAUUAGAGGAGGAGCAGACUGAUUUGCUACAAAAUGGGGAAUGGAAUUAUGUUAAAGAGGAAAGACCCAGCUCCCAAAACACAAUGUUCCUGGGUGAUAGAGCAAGAAAAUUCAUUUUUGCAAAUACCCAGUAAGAAGUAGACUGGACACUACAACAUGAAAAAGAGAAAAAAGAAAAAAAUAAAUCAGUAGGAUUUAGCAAAUUGCCUCUUAGGAGUAGUAUUAGUCUAGAGUCCAGGAUGUACUGUUGUCCCACCCUUCCCUGAAAAAGCUCACCUGCACUUCAGCUGGCCCAUCAGCACCGAGGUUUCCAAAAGAAAGCAAAUUUGCCAUGUAAUAUUUAGAGAGUUUGGGGUUUCAGCAAAACUGUUUUAUAGGCUAAAGUCUCAGAAAGACUACUAAAAAUAAUGAUACCGAGAUUGACAAGGCCAACGAAUUCCCCUGCACUGGAAAAAAAUCACAACCACAUUUGCACACUAAAGAAUAAGAUGCAGGCAAAAUAAAAAUGGGUUGGGGGGGAGGCAGAGGAGAAUCACUGUAACUCCCAACUUUGAUAUUAAUCAGAAUAUCAGAAGUAGAGUGAGAAGGAGCCUGAAAAGAAGUAAAACAAAUGUGUACAUUUAAUCAGACAGGAUUGCAUAGGAUACAAAGCACAGGGCUAAUUAGUCUCAGCAGGUAGGACUAACCUUCAGACUUCAUAAAUAAAUAAGGCAGGUGCAGUGUCUAAGAGGGAGAGUGGAGACAGAAAGGGGAUUAUUUCAAGACACCAAGUGAAAACAUGAAGAAUGAAAUGCUUCACUGUUAAAUCCAUGUACAAAUGGACUUAACAGUUUCCUUUUUUAGGUCUUUUACUUGGUUGCCUUUAGAUUUACACAUUUAGCGAAAUGACCAUAGCUUUAUACACUUGCUAAUUGUCACCUGUAUACUUGAUGUGCCUAAGUCUGUCUAUAUGCAGCGUAGACUUUACUAAGGCUCAUUUUAGGGACUUAGUUACUUAAACUGGAACACAUUUAUAGGAACUCAAUUUUAUGGCAAUUUCUUUGUCCUGUGUGGUAGUUUUUUGUUUUUUAUUUUUUUAAUCAAACCCUGGUCUGAAUUAAGUUGGAUAAUGAGGUCUUCUAUGUUCUUUAUAGUACUACCUGUAUAAUAAAAUCUCAGGAAUAUACUGAAUUGAAAUUUUAAAGAAUGUACUUACUGAUUUUACUAUACUGGCCUGCAUUUUUAUCAUAUGUAAAUACUAAGGGCUUUGUUCCCAUGAUUAGUAACUUUAUCCAUUUUGGCAUAUCCUUAUUUUUCUCAUUCAAAGGGAACUCUUUUGAAUCUCUCCUUCCUUAAAUCUCUGAUUUAAUUAAGCAAUUAAAAAGUUAUUCUGUGAUAGUGCAUGUCCCACAUUUAAUUUCGUUGCCUGGUGCUGUACAAAGGCUUGAGUAGACCAGCAAGAUCUCAGAGGGGCCAGAUCCCUGAUGCUCUGCAAGUCCCUCAGGUGAUGCCUGAAUUGAGGAGCGGGGGGGAAUGGCAGAAUUGGCACUGCAGUAGCCAGGCAGCAAGGUAUUGAAAAAUACCUUGAAUAGCCGGGCGCAGUGGCUCAUGCCUGUAAUCCCAGCACUUUGGGAGGCCAAGGCGGGCGGAUCACGAGGUCAGGAGAUCGAGACCAUCCUGGCUAACACGGUGAAACACCGUCUCUACUAAAAAUACAAAAAAUUAACCAGGCGUGGUGGCGGGUGCCUGUAGUCCCAGCUACUCGGAAGGCUGAGGCAGGAGAAUGGCGUGAACCCGGGAGGCGGAGCUUGCAGUGAGCCGUGAUGGCGCCACUGCACUCCAGCCUGGCCAACAGAGCGAGACUCCGUCUCAAAAAAAAAAAAAAAAAGAAAAGAAAAAAAAAGAAAAAUACCUUGAAUACUAUUUGAAAAAAAAGGUAGGCUGGCCCACAAUGUGAAUGUGUAAUUUAUAGAUUUGGUGUGAAAUUUUAAACACAGUUGACUUGGGUCCAAGUGCUGAGGCAACUUCUCUGUGGAUACUGAUGACUCCUGGUUUAUAGGACCAAGCGUUCUGCCCAAAUGGCAGAGAUUUGAAAAACACAGGAAACCAGACCAGUUCUGACUUUAGCCUGAGCCAGGGGAUUUUGCCACCAUGGGCUCUGCAUGUUGGGAAAUGGGUGGGAGGGGGGAGAAGCUGUGCCCUCAUCCCUUGGAAUCCAGUUAGGUCUCUGCAUAUUUUGGGAGGAAGGCAGGGAGAAGCUGGGCCCUCACCCCUUGGAGUCCAUUCCUGGCGCCAGUCCAGGUCCUGAACUGUAAGUAGCUGUCCCUAGGCCUCUCUGACUUUGACCUCGCCCUCUUCAUCCACUGCCCUUCUGCUGCUUCUCUUCUGUUUUCUCCUCUCCUUCAGCCCUCCCUUGAUUAAAUCCUUCUCUUUGGAUACAUGCUGAUACCUUAAAACUUAAGUGAGUAGUGUUACCUCUUCCAGAGGUGCUUCCUUGUUUAUCCCUAUCAAUGAGCAUGAAAAGGAGGUUUCUGUUUACACAAAUCACCUUUUAAGUGUUGGUUCCCCACGUGGGAGAUAUGGUGAAGUGUUAGGUGCCCAUUGAAAUACAGGAAUGUGCCUGACAGGGGACUGCAGAAAUAGGCCUGCCACAGGCUGUGUCACCCACGGCCCCUUCGUCUUGUCUCACCUGGUGGAUGAGGUGGUUGGAAUGGGCUUUUUUAAGUUGCCUGUUAAUAUUUAAAAGUCCGUGAUUCCAUCGUUUCACCACACGCCCCAGUUAUGGCUCAGAGAUUCACGCACACCAGCAAAGAAGACAAACCAUAUUGAAAGCUUGGCUCUGGAAUUUGAGAAAAACAAGGCUAGUCUGUCAGAUUUACCCGAAGUGGGGAAUACAUGUUGACAACCAUAUUCAGCUCCCCCAGUCACUCGGCAAGAUUCUGCUAAGUUACCCUUGACAGUGAUAUGUACAUGUGUGGGUGUGUGUAUUUGUGUUCCUGUGUGAUUUUUCUUUAAAGAUCUGGGCUCCAAGAUGGAUGAUCUGUUACCCCACUGUGUUGGACUUAUCUAUGCCGGGAGUGUGCUAAAGGAAGCCAAAAAAAGACUCUGAAAACAUAAGGAAGCUAUAAAAUGGGGAAAUGUUUAGAAGCCAAAGUCCUGAUUCCGCUGUGAGAUUUUCUGUUUGCUUUUUGUUCUGCGUGGGUGAUGGUUCCUUAUUUGGACCUUGAGGAAAGCUACUCCCUUAGCCAACAUAGGAACGUUAAAAAAUUGGACACCCAAGAGUUUUCAAAUUUAGCAAGAGGAAGGGUUAGGCAAAAGCGCCCACUUCACAGGCAUCCUCUAUCCCCCCAAAGACUCUGUGAAGGGACUUGGAGAGACACAUACUCUCUCCCCUUGAAACCCUGAGGAACACUCUUCUGUUCUGACAUUUUUCUGAAGUGCCCGGCUUGAUCACCUUGCUUCAGCUAAUAACAGGUCCAGGUAAUAAAGUGACAAUAAUACCUGAUGAUCCAAGGGUUAAUGGGGAGAUGUACGCAUCUGUACAGGGUUUCAUCACCUGCCUUCAUAAGCCGAUUACCACUGCUAUAGGCAUUUGUGACAGGAACAGCUUUCUGAAAGACAUCAGUCCUCCAUAAAUAUACUUUUCUUAUUGACAAGAUGUCUUUUAACCCUAAUAGUAAUGGAAGAAGGCCAAUAAAUGAAACAUUUACUGCAUAACUUGCCUUAUUUUGGGGUGGUGUACAAUUCCUUUCUAGCUGUCUCUAGAAGAUGUUUUCAGCCUAAUUUGCUCCCUAGAAAUUUCACUCGCUACAGUUAUACGUCUAUGACGUUUUAUUGCCUGAAGCCAAGUCUGCAUAAGAACUUUCUUAAGAUAUACUUAUCCUAAUGCCAAGCUACAGUAACUGGGCUGCUUUGUGCUGAAUUAUUUGUGCUACCCUGAUAUACAGGGCAGAGACUUCCCAAUAGUCAUUGCCAUAGGGUAGGUCUAAAUGUUUCUGAGAAGGGGAAAAGAGGCAGGAAAAAGGUGAAAAAAGUUUCAUCUAGGUUGAUUUGUAGAAGUCUUUAGAAUUAAUAAUUGGAUGCGUAUUUAACAUAUUAAAAUGCCUGAGGUUUUCUUUUGUUUUCUCUUUUUAAAAUGGCUUCAAUGACCCCACCCUGUCUUACAGAGCAGCUUUGCCCACUCAAAUCCAUUGCUGUAUUCAAAAAUGUCACAGAUAGCAAAGCACCUUCCACUAAAACAUGGGCACCUUAAAAUGAGGCAGAUACUAUGUCCCCCGGUAUUGAACAGUCUCACAAGGUGGCUUACGUGCGUUCAAGCGACAGAGCAGGUGAAACUUCAGGAGAGGAUGAUGCCAUUGUUCCCCCUUGAAAUUCAUCUAGGUGUGGGCUGACACACCUGCAUCUGGCCAGAAGCAAUAUGGGAUGGGAGGAGGUAAAAUAUCCAAGGAGACUCUCAGGUCCAUAGUGUGAAGAUUUCAGGUUUGGUCCUCACUAGGAAUCCACAGCAGCAUCAGCCCCAAACUGUCUUGAGAAAAUACUAAAUCUAUGUUGACGGAAUCACUUGAGACUGGAUUAGAAUCAGCAACUCUCCUCCCUUGCAAAAUCCCAAAUGUUUCUGCAAAUUCCAAAUUAGUACGGAUGGAUUACGUUUCCUAACAAAACACUCAUUUGGAUGAGGAAAGGGAAGAAGUUUCAGUGAAUGAGUUCCAGGAUCCAGAGUGAGUUUGGGUCUCAGUAUAGACAACAAUAUGCAGCACAAGGUUUAGCAACAGUAAGAGAGUCUUCCAGUGGACUGUCAUCUUUAGCAAACACCGGUUCUGGGUAGCCUGAGGGCAUGCUGUAAAUACCUAGAGCAAGAAGGAGAGCAUUAAUCGUUAUUAAAGGUUCCAGGAUGCUGAGAGUGAGGGCUUAUAAUAACCCCCAAACUCCAUAAGAAACACGGGAGCCCCUCCCAGCACCCCCACCUAUGGAGAUGUGGUGUUUCUCUUUGCCUGUGUCCCCACACACUGAAUUUCUAAUGACUUCACACACUGUUGGAAAUCCUCCCUGUGCUUUUUAAGGGUGGCCAAGGUUCCUGAUGGUCUGUUGACAGCACAGGGAUGCAGUUUCCUUGUUCUCAUUCUGCAAAGGACUAUGCUUCUAAAGAAACCCAAGUCUUAGGCCAGGAAGAAUCUGAAGAGGCCUCCUGGGCCCCACCACUUCCCAUUCUCCUUCCAAUCAAUGUGCAUUAGGGGCUAAAGGCCAUAAGUGAUGGCAUCUAUAUGCCUGUGAGACCCUCCUGGCCCUGCCACCCACCCAAACUCUAUCUGGAAGCCAGAGAGAACAUUUCUUAGGGAAGGAUCU